rnacentral:tRNA from 1 species
UGCGGGAUGGUGUAGCGGUAGCACGGUUGACUCUGGAUCAACUAGCCCAGGUUCGAAUCCUGGUCCCGCAG